rnacentral:rRNA from 1 species
AGCGAACGCUGGCGGCAGGCUUAACACAUGCAAGUCGAGCGGGCACUUUCGGGUGUCAGCGGCGGACGGGUGAGUAACGCGUGGGAACGUGCCCUCUGGUUCGGAAUACUCAGGGAAACUUGAGCUAAUACCGGAUACGCCCUUUUGGGGAAAGGCUUGCUGCCGGAGGAUCGGCCCGCGUCUGAUUAGCUAGUUGGUGAGGUAACGGCUCACUAAGGCGACGAUCAGUAGCUGGUCUGAGAGGAUGAUCAGCCACACUGGGACUGAGACACGGCCCAGACUCCUACGGGAGGCAGCAGUGGGGAAUAUUGGACAAUGGGCGCAAGCCUGAUCCAGCCAUGCCGCGUGAGUGAUGAAGGCCUUAGGGUUGUAAAGCUCUUUUAUCCGGGACGAUAAUGACGGUACCGGAGGAAUAAGCCCCGGCUAACUUCGUG